GCUUCGAGCUGCGCCGAGUCGCGUCAGCGGGACUAUUUAUUUAGUCGCGGAGGCAAUCGGCUGCUGCGCUUCGGUCAUCUGGGCGGGACCUCUCCCGCCUUCUUAGGUUGUACCCGACUAUAUAACAGGGGCUUAUGCACCAAAGAAAAGACGUUUCAAUAUCGUUAUUUAUCAAGUUGCGUCGCACUGUAUGUUUAUCGGCAUUCUCAGCAAGGAAGUCUGGUGAACUUGCCAGUAUCUAGCAUCAAGAAGUUCAUAUAUCAAAGCUUCAUGACAGCGCGCGCAGGCGGGCGUCUCAGUGCGCGCUUUCUGCUACUCACCGAACAUGCAGCCCCAACGCCGUAGCAGAAAUCUCCCUCGCGGAAGUUUUUGCUACACACCCGAGUUGUAGCCGAUGGCUGCUUGCCGGUUCUAAGUUUCGCGAUCCAAGCUACACGCCGCUUCUUGGCAUGCGGGUACGUGUGAAGGCUGACACCGCGCUCCGUUGCGUACGCGUCCGGCACUAUGGUACCGAGCAAUAGCCUACCAUGUCGGACGCGUUCAAAGGCAGCCAUUACCUGUUAUAGUGCUUUCAAGUGUUGUCAUGCAGACACCCGAAACGGGAAAACAUCCCAACUUAAUCAGAACCGUAGUGCAGAUGGAACUAAACUUUCGUUUUCAGCUCGCUUCGACGCUUCCGAAGCAGACGACACGGCCGCUGUGUCCACGUGAUCCCUCAUAACACGUCACGCCGACGGUGGCGCCAGCUUUUCCAGUGGUGGAGCUCGCUUUCAAUACCACCCCAGCUACCGGCGUGAAAUUAAUUAAAAUUAAAUUAUGGGGUUUUACGUGCCAAAACCACGAUCUGAUUAUGAGGCACGCCGUAGUGGAGGACUCCAGAAAUUUGGACCACCUGGGGUUCUUUAACGUGCACCUAAAUCUAAGUACACGGGUGUUUUCGCAUUUCGCCCCCAUCGAAAUGCGGCCGCCGUGGCCGGAAUUCGAUCCCGCGACCUCGUGCUCAGCAGCCCAACACCAUAGCCACUGAGCAACCAUGGCGGGUCCGGCGUGAAAUAGGCACAUGCAAUAUACGAUUCCUCACACGCUAGUUCCACUUACCUGAAAAGCAAAAUUUACCUGCUUACUGCGUAUAUAGCAAUGAACUUGACAGAUUUCGCAAAACACAUUAAGAAAAGCAAGCAUGUGCGCCUGAUCACUGUGCUUCUCCAUUAAAGAACACGAAGACUAAAAAUACAGCAAUUAGAUGGCUCGCGAAAAACUUGCAUGAUGGCACACAAAGCAUCGAUGUAACAGAAGCGAUAACUCAAUGCACAGUAGUUGCCGUCUGGAGCGCGCAAAGUACGCAGAAGCACACGACUUCUUUCACAACAUGGCGUCCAUAGAGUUAAUAUAACUGAGUCAGUAUAUUAACUCUAUGAUGGAGUCAAACACCGCGCAUCUUUUUAAGACAGCCGUCGUCUGCUAGCUACUUGCGCUUGUCCGAGCAAACAUCUGCCGACAGCUCCAACAGUCUGCGGGAAGUCGGAACUUCCGUUCCGUGAAAAAACGAACGCGCUUCUGACAACACUCGGACUAGUGGGCGGAACUUCGGAAGCUGUCCGAGCAAAAUCGAAUGCGGCACAGCAUGUCCCAAGCCAUAGAGUUUCACACUAUAAAAGUGAGAAACUCUAUGUCCCAAGCAGUCCGGGACUGCCAGGGACUGAUAAUCGAAGAGGCCCACUAUCACUCGAAUCGGUGACGGCGACAUGUCACAAGGGAAACGGAUGUCGCCCGCGCGCGCACACAGGUUCUUUCGCGCACGCCUUUUCCGCACUAGCCCACCCUGGAGCCAUCUGUGCGCGCGCGACACGUGCAUGCAGAUAUGACACGCCGGCGCGCGUUGCAAUGGGUCCGUCCCUUGUUCAGGACGGCACCCUUGCGCUCUACAGCGACGCAGUGUGCCCGAAUAUUCCGACAGCGCAGCGGGACCAGCGAGGCGAGAUCCCGCGCAUCGGGUCGGGCAUCACCACAAAAUACUUGCGCUUGCGACUCGCGCUGUUUCCUUCCGAGGCAAGGUAGCAGCGUGUCAGUUGAACAGUCAGGCGAGCCGUUCUUUAUGAGAAAGUACCGAAGUGGCGAUUGUCCCGCGCAGGACCGAGCUCGGGGCUCCCACGCUGCUGCCCCCCCUUGAGGCUUCGGUUUUGCGAGCGCAUGCUCCGCCCAGACAAGUGCCGCCUAGCAACGGAGGCCCGUCUGUUCCUUGUUUUGCCCUUCACGCGCGCCUCUUUCUGGGGCCGUACUAGCUACGUACGCGCGCGGCGAAUUGAAACCUCCGUACUCGCGGGGUUGCCACGUGGUCAAACUUUGCCUGGAGUGAGACAGUUGCGGUGUCCACGGCAACGAAUGUGAAAAACAAACAAACAAGAAGAAACAUUCCGAUCUGGAGGCUACAUGGAGCUUCCUCUUUGUCGGUAGUUUUCUCGGCGUCAGCGUCUGUUUUGAGCGCGUCAAUCUUAUUACACGGUGCUUCGGUGAUGCGUGGGGCCGGAAGCCAAAUAGCAACAGCGCGGACCGAAAGCCAACAACGACGUCUUCGUGGAUUGAUAUAAUCUUGACCGGGUGAGGUGGGUCGUCACCGCAAGAAUCAGGAGACGACGAUGAAGGCGGGCAUCGUGAUGAUGAAAAAUAGAAAAGAUUGUAUUCACUUCAUUGGUACAUGGUUUUGACUCUAUCCGAGUCUCGAGCGGUUCUGCUUAACACGGGGGCCAGGACGGCCUUAAAUAACCCCUUGUGGUAGCCGAUGUCUCCUUCGGGGAACUUGUGGAAGUGUCAGUCCUCUGUCGGGUGGUCAAGUUGACGACCUCCUCCCCCUCGGGUCUUCUCAUUUGGUAGCUCGCCUUUUUCGUCUGCUCAGGUCGUAGAGGUGUGACGCUUUCUCGGGGAUGAAGGGGAUUAUCUCGUCACGGGAAAGGCGCUCGGGCUUGUUUCCCACAUUUGAGAGGUACAGUUUCCAGGAAGAUCAUAACCGCCUCUUGGGGAUGAAGAUAAUUGCCCCGACACGGGAACGUGCGCGGGUUUGGUUUCCCACAACUGAGAUGCAGAGUUCCAAGCCGAUCAUAACAGAAUAGCUCAUAUGGUGAUAACUUAAUAUGAACUGAUGGGUUGAAGAGAACAACGUAACUGAUGGCGCAGCCAAUAGAGACGUUUAUCGAAACAUGCGACGAUUAAUGGGUGGAAUGGAAUUUUCGGAGCAUUCACUAUAACGACGUUUCAGAAUAACGAACCAUUUACCGCGGUUCCCUGAAGUUAUAUCGAGAUUUCACUGUACACAGCAUACCGCCUUGUUAAUUUAUUUUCGGCAUGCUUAGAGCGCGCGUUUUUCUCACAACUGUUUUGCCUUUAUGAUCGAAAUAAAGAAUGCUUCUGAAAUAC